rnacentral:rRNA from 1 species
CCUACGGGUGGCAGCAGUGGGGAAUAUUGGGCAAUGGGCGCAAGCCUGACCCAGCAACGCCGCGUGAAGGAAGAAGGCUUUCGGGUUGUAAACUUCUUUUGUCAGGGAAGAGUAGAAGACGGUACCUGACGAAUAAGCCACGGCUAACUACGUGCCAGCAGCCGCGGUAAUACGCAGGUGGCAAGCGUAGUCCGGAUUUACUGGGUGUAAAGGGCGUGUAUCCGGGUUGACAAGUCAGAUGGUAAAUCGUGCGGCUUAACCGCAGAACUGCAUUUGAAACUGUUGAUCUUGAGUACUGGAGAGGCAGAUGGAAUUCCUAGUGUAGCGGUGAAAUGCAUAGAUAUUAGGAGGAACACCAGUGGCGAAGGCAGUCUGCUGGACAGCAACUGACGGUGAAGCGCGAAAGCGUGGGGAGCAAACAGGAUUAGAUACCCCAGUAGUC